rnacentral:lncRNA from 12 species
AGCUUGAAAGUGAACAUACAUUGGAACCACAUCUCUUUUUUUAAUUUGUUUUUAUUUUUUUUAAGAGUUUAUUUAUUUAUGUAUUCAUGAGAGACACAGAGAGACAGAGGCAGAGACACAGGCAGAGGGAGAAGCAGGCUCCCUCUGGGGAGACUGAUGCAGGAUUCAAUUCCAGAACCCCUAGGAUCACGGCUGCCAAAGGCUUCCACUCAACCACUGAGCCACCCAGGUCCCCCUGGAACCACAUCUCAAUGAGACAAGAGAGAAGGGAAUGGGUUUGGAAGCUAGAUUAACAAGAGGCUUCCCUCACUGCUGUGUUUUAUGGUUGCAUUUUCUCUUCUGGACAGUUUUAGAAAAGGACACGGGUGGGAAUUGAGAAUCUGGAAAAAUUGCUCUAACUGUCCUCAUGCAGCCCCGGGACAGUCCAGAUCCAGUUCUGAGACUGUUGCCCUAAAGAACUGCCAUACUGUAGCAGGAAACCCGAAGAUGCUUCACUGGAUUAACUCUUGGCCUGUUGCUCGAUUGAUGGCCUCUACUAGGAAUGGAAGUUACCUCAGUGCUGGGACCUUAUGUCACUCAAUUCCUGUUAUGAAAUUCAGGAACAUAUGAAUGAACGAAUGAAUGAAUGAGUACCCGACUAAUGAGUAGAUAAGGAAGGGUAUUGUUAGGAGGAAGAACAAUGGAACCAAGAAUUGGAGAAUGAUAUUAAAGCUAUUAUGAAACAGUUUCUAUAACUAGAGAACCCAAAGGAGCUAGUCUCAGCUAAGGAGAGCCUACACUGUCAGCAAAAGUUUGUGGAAAUGGGUACUGGAUGGUUUGCUCCUGUAUACUGUUGUGAUACUCUCAGACUCCAGGGAGCAGAGGCAUGGUAAGGGUAUGGGGCUAUUUGGAGAAGUUGGGAAGGGUACUUUUUUCUUUGCUUUAGCUUCUCUAUAAUGUUUGCCUGGAUAGUUCUCUUUCAAACCUCCCUAAAUUCUUCUAUCCUGUAGGAUUUCUGGCUGAAAAUAGAAAGCUCCUUUUGUCAAUCUAAGAAGCAGAGUGGUAAAUUAGUAACCAAACUUGAUAUCCAUAAGAUUGGUGAAGUUCAGGAUAAACUUAUAUUUUGAGCUAUUCUCUCCAAAAUAAACAACAACAAAAAAUCCCCCCA